rnacentral:rRNA from 1 species
CCUACGGGUGGCAGCAGUGAGGAAUAUUGGUCAAUGGGCGCGAGCCUGAACCAGCCAUGCCGCGUGAAGGUCAGUGCCCUAUGGGCGUUAAACUUCUUUUGUGCGGGAGCAAUAAUGGUCACGUGUGGCCAGACGAGAGUACCGUACGAAUAAGCAUCGGCUAACUCCGUGCCAGCAGCCGCGGUAAUACGGGGGAUGCAAGCGUUAUCCGGAUUUAUUGGGUUUAAAGGGUGCGUAGGCUGUGAGGUAAGUCAGCGGUGAAAUGCCCACGCUCAACGGGGUGAAGUGCCAUUGAUACUGCCUUGCUGGAAUGCGGAUGCCGUGGGAGGAAUGUGUGGUGUAGCGGUGAAAUGCAUAGAUAUCACGCAGAACUCCGAUUGCGAAGGCAGCUUACUAAACUAUAACUGACGUUGAGGCUCGAAAGCGUGGGGAGCAAACAGGAUUAGAUACCCUAGUAGUC